AUCCACAGAACUUGCCAGAGAUGGCUUGGUGCCUUCGGGAACUGUGAGACAGGUGCUGCAUGGCUGUCGUCAGCUCGUGUUGUGAAAUGUUGGGUUAAGUCCCGCAACGAGCGCAACCCUUAUCCUUUGUUGCCAGCGGUCCGGCCGGGAACUCAAAGGAGACUGCCAGUGAUAAACUGGAGGAAGGUGGGGAUGACGUCAAGUCAUCAUGGCCCUUACGACCAGGGCUACACACGUGCUACAAUGGCGCAUACAAAGAGAAGCGACCUCGCGAGAGCAAGCGGACCUCAUAAAGUGCGUCGUAGUCCGGAUUGGAGUCUGCAACUCGACUCCAUGAAGUCGGAAUCGCUAGUAAUCGUGAAUCAGAAUGUCACGGUGAAUACGUUCCCGG
rnacentral:rRNA from 1 species